ACAGGCUUAACACAUGCAAGUCGAGGGGAAACGAUAUUGGAAGCUUGCUUCCGAUAGGCGUCGACCGGCGCACGGGUGAGUAACGCGUAUCCAACCUGCCCACCACUUGGGGAUAACCUUGCGAAAGUAAGACUAAUACCCAAUGACGUCUCUAGAAGACAUCUGGAAGAGAUUAAAGAUUUAUCGGUGAUGGAUAGGGAUGCGUCUGAUUAGCUUGUUGGCGGGGUAACGGCCCACCAAGGCAACGAUCAGUAGGGGUUCUGAGAGGAAGGUCCCCCACAUUGGAACUGAGACACGGUCCAAACUCCUACGGGAGGCAGCAGUGAGGAAUAUUGGUCAAUGGACGAGAGUCUGAACCAGCCA
rnacentral:rRNA from 1 species